AGAACCUCAGGAAUUGCAAGGUAGAGUUAGAGGUAAACAAGUCCAUGACCAUUGUUUCUAAAAUCAAGGGUAGGUGAAUCAGAAUAAAUUGUCACCAUGAUGAAUGUUGUCACUGAGCACAGAAGUGCAAGUUAGGGCAGGAAGAAAAAGUGUGGCCUGGGUGUAAUAUGUGCUUCUGUAGUCCUGGAUAGCACAUAUUUUAGAACAUUUCUAUUACCACUGAAAAUUCAACUGGAUAUCCCAGUACUAGAGAUGCAGGAAAAUGAGAGGGUUAGGUCUUACCGAAAACAGAUCAGGUAUUACAGGAGCAACAGAAACUGCCCUACAUGAGGAUGUGAGCAAGGAUGCUCUAUGUUUGGACAAUUUUGAAGUAUUAUUAUUUUGUUAUUUUAACAUUUCUGAGAUUAGGAUGAGUCACACAAUUGAUGUGCUCAUUUAAUAAGGUAGUGUUUAUUUUUUUCUACUGAAAACUGUUAACUGAUUGAUGAUGCAUGUCAUAAUCAGUGGCAUCUCAAAAUUGGUGAAAUAUGGUAAGUGCAGGGCCACAGGGAUUUUCAUCUUGGGUGGUAACCACAAACACAAAGAAUCUAGAACUGGACAAGAAAACUGAAGAGAUGUGAUAAUGGGAAUUGAGUUAAAUUUUGAAAGAACCAGCUCCAAGACACCAGUCCAAACCUGGAACCAUGAUGCACUGGCCACGGUUUCCAGUACUUUCUUAGGUUCAUAGCACCUGCCUCCAGACCUUCUGUGGACUGCAAAUUGGGUAAUGGUGUCUCAGGC
rnacentral:lncRNA from 1 species